AUUAAUUAUUAAAUAGAGACGCAGGUGCCGUUUACAACCUCCAUUUUUGGAGAGUCGCAUCAUGAUUUAUUUAAAAGACCGUUGCUUCAAAGUCAGUUUAAAGUUAGUCUUUCCUCACCGUUUCUCUUUAACGGGACUCAUCAUUUUUCGCUGUUUUUCAUCACCUUAUCUCUUGUUCUGUUGUUAUCUCAAUCGUUCUCUUCUCUUUCUCAAAGACAAACUAACAUUUGGACUCUAAAUCUGUUUCUGUCCUGACAGCUAUCACAGUUUGAAAGGAUGAGCCAGGCUGGAUAGCAGUGUCGAGCGUUCGAUAUUGCAGGUUUCACAGGGAAACCGCAGCACUCGGCAAUUACAGUAAAUGGGGACUGAUGCUUCACACCUUCAAAUACACAAAAGCACCAACAGUUUUGUAACAGCAGGAUUGAAUCAUUACAGCCCUUAGAUGUUUUCUUGAUGAGAUCCUUGCAGCUCAAGACGGGCCACGCGAAUCUUCUGACGACUCCCGAAGAAAAGAAGAGAACGAAUUGCCCCGUGAUCAAAGGAGAUCGUCUCUGCUUCUGGCUAAUGAGGACAUUGAUUACACAAACUGAAGACUGUGCAGAUGGAGCUGGACCCUGCAUCGCAUCACAGAAUCUUACCCAUCCCUUACAUUCAUCUGCUUACAUUCACCAGCAACCUACGCUCUUUUUCAGUGUAUAAGUCUGCCGUACCGUCACGACUUCCCCAUUGGCAGCUACAUCAUCAUCUUUGACCCAGGCGAAGGUGAUGUAAUCUGAAGGACUUCUGAAGCCAAUCUGCACACAGAGAUAUAAAUCACCUCUGUCCAAUCCAGUCCCAUGUUGAGGCUUCAAAGGUUUCCAGAAUGGUGUAGGUGAGUGUGGCAUCUUCAUCUGCGCUCCAGAGUCCCUCUGCGGUCAGUGUGACCAGAGCAGUACAUUAUUCGUACCUCCAGACGGAAAGUCCCUAUGACGGGUUUGUGGUCACUGAUCCCGUACGAGACAUCACAGGUGUACAUGUCCUGAAUCAUUUUAACCAGCAGAUUAAAGCGCCCGUUGUUGAUCGAGGAGCGGAGGAAGUGCAUCCCGUGAUCAGCAAUACGAAAGUUCAGAUCACCAAACCAGAAGACUACCCUAACAGUGACAGUAACUCACCCAAUCACAUAGAGGUCAGUGGCCGGGUGUAAGUCGAGCUGCAGUAAUGACCUCACAUCAGCUGGCGGCUCUGCCGUGCCAACAUUCCACGUGACCAUGUGCAGCCUGAACCAGAGAAAAGGGAAGAAACAGAACAGCAUGCACAUAGAUGAAAGGCUUCAUCCAGCGUGCGGGACACUUCCUCAUUUGCUUCAUCAUCUGAGCUGAGAUCUUCCAGACAUGUGAGCAGCUGAGCGAUCCGCUGACGCAGUA